UCAGAGGGAUACAUUAGUCAUCAUUCUGUUGCUUUUUUUGUUUUGUUUCACUUUCCACUCUUCUUUAUUUUCCUUUGCUCCUGAUGGCUGUCAAACUGACAUUGGAGAAGGGGUGAGGGGCUGAAGCAGCUGAAUGAGGAGGUGUUGGCAGUUUGGAUAGCUCCUGAGGGCGCAUCCGUGAGUCUUGCUGGUGACGUCACCUGUGUUCAUAUCUUCUUGUAUUGACGGAUGGAACGGAUAUGGCCUGAUAUCAAAACCUCGAUGCUCAGCUGAGAUGAUCUUAGAUGUCUCAUCGGUCAUCCAGUCUAUUGUUAGGUCUUUAUGAAUGACAGCUUCUGCUUUUGUUUUCUUUAAAAGUGUGCUCCAUUGAAGUCUAUGGGGAGAAGAAGUUAACAUGGUCGCAAUUGCUUAACUGAAGUUAGUGCGCACCGGAUUUCGCUCAGGACCGAACUAAGAAAUCAGACCAGCCCUGGAAAUUUUUGAAGACAAGCCCCAACACGCAUCCCCAGACACAGUCAAGCCACCCCUCCAGCCCAGCCAACCCACUCCCCGGCCUAGCCAUUUACCCGGGCUGUGACGGAUUCCUUCCUUCACCCAUGGCACUACUAAAAAAAUGGCUUUCACCUACCUCCCCUCACACAGAGCACACAUGUCACUCACCUCUCUCUGUGGUGAUAAAAUUGAGCAGAGCAACCGAUCUUCUUUUUAAAACAUGAGCUUUGUUUAGAAGAUUAGAUGAAUAAUUGUUGUUAUAAUGAUUAAUAAAUGUGACCAUCAUGGUCUUCUCUCCAA